GGUGGGUGCUCGAUGACGGCGGUGGAGUGCCGAUGUUGGAGGUGGUGGGUGCUCGAUGAUGGUGGUGGAGUGUCGUUGUCGGAGGUGGUGGGUGCUCGAUGGCAGGUGGUGGGUGCUCGAUGUCGGAGGUGGUGGGUGCUCGAUUUGAUUUUGGUGACUGUGGGGUUGAUAUGUUUUGGAUUGGAUGGCGAUGAUGCAAAAAAAAAA